GCCGCGGUAGCUCAGCCUGGCCAGAGCAGUCGAUUUGUAAUCGACUGGUCGGGGGUUCGAAUCCCCCCCGCGGCU
rnacentral:tRNA from 1 species